rnacentral:rRNA from 1 species
AACGAACGCUGGCGGCAUGCCUAACACAUGCAAGUCGAACGGGACCUCCGUGUGUGGUUGCGCACGGGUGCGUAACGCGGGGGAACCGGCCCUUAGGCUCGGAAUAACACCCCUUAGGGGGGGCUAAUACAGGGUAACGUACUCGGAUAAAGUAUUUAUCGCAUUUGGGUGGGCCCGAGUUGUUUUAGCCAGUGGGUAGUGUAAGAGCCUACGAAGGCCACGAUCCAUAGCUGGUCUGAGAGGAUGAUCAGCCACUCUGGGACGGAGACACGGCCCAGAGUCCUGCAGGAUGCAGGAGAGGGGAAUCCUGGACUACCGGCGAAAGGCAGAACCAGCAAUGCUGCGUGAGUGAUGAAGGCCUUAGGGUUGUAAAGCUCUUUUACCCGCGGCGAUACUGACAGUACCGGGAGAAUAAGCUCCGGCUAACUCCGUG